rnacentral:tRNA from 1 species
GCCGAGGUGGUGGAAUGGUAGACACGCAGGAUUUAGGAUCCUGUGUCCGAAAGGACGUGGAGGUUCAACUCCUCUCCUCGGCA